rnacentral:rRNA from 1 species
GAUGAACGCUGGCGGCGUGCCUAAUACAUGCAAGUCGAGCGAAUGGAUUAAGAGCUUGCUCUUAUGAAGUUAGCGGCGGACGGGUGAGUAACACGUGGGUAACCUGCCCAUAAGACUGGGAUAACUCCGGGAAACCGGGGCUAAUACCGGAUAACAUUUUGAACCGCAUGGUUCGAAUUGAAAGGCGGCUUCGGCUGUCACUUAUGGAUGGACCCGCGUCGCAUUAGCUAGUUGGUGGGGUAACGGCUAACCAGGGCAACGAUGCGUAGCCGACCUGAGAGGGUGAUCGGCCACACUGGGACUGAGACACGGCCCAGACUCCUACGGGAGGCAGCAGUAGGGAAUCUUCCGCAAUGGACGAAAGUCUGACGGAGCAACGCCGCGUGAGUGAUGAAGGCUUUCGGGUCGUAAAACUCUGUUGUUAGGGAAGAACAAGUGCUAGUUGAAUAAGCUGGCACCUUGACGGUACCUAACCAGAAAGCCACGGCUAACUACGUGCCAGCCGCCGCCGUAA